GUUUCCGUAGUAUAGCGGUUAUCAUGCUCGCCUAACGCGCGAGAGGUCUUCGGUUCGAAACCCAGCGGAAAUA